rnacentral:lncRNA from 1 species
UUUUUCUUUUGGUUUCUUAUGAAUCCGGUUUGGUGCCUUUGUUUCGAUUUUCUCUUCAUCCAAUUUGUUUUCGUACCUUUGUUUUUGUCAGGUUCUGCCAUCCUUUAUAAUAAUUUUCGGAAAUGCUAGAGAAAGCAAUUUUCUUUUCGCAAGAUGAGUUAUAGGUAUAUUUCUCUCUUUUUUCUUGUUUCUUAAUUUAUUUGUGCGUAUAUGUAUCUGUAUAUACAUUAUGCAACGAAGUUGGUUUUGUAUAUUCUGGUUAAGUGAAUUUAAUUUGCUUAUGUAUUUAGUUAAUAUGCUGAUGUGUAGUUUAAUCCUUUGUGAUUAUCUGAUGCCUUGGUAUUAUGAAGAAAGUAUAUUCUUUUAAAGAUCCUUUAAACAAUUCUUCCGUAUCAAUUUUAAUCUUUGGUAUACUUCAUUAACUUCUUUGUGAAAGUUGAAGAGUUAUAUUUCAAUACUAUUGCUUGUGUGUUUGAUUUUUGUUUUUUAUUUUUUAUUUUUUAUUUUUCAGCAUACGUGGACAAAACAUGAUUUUGUUUUGGAAUAUACAUGAACAAAACUUUAUCUUGUUUUGAUAGCCUUCUCUGAGAAAGGGUGUAGUUAGAUUUCCUAGGUGUUUGUUUCCAUUGCAGGUCUUCCACUUUAGUUUCACCAAUAUUUGUGUCAUCUCAAGGUUAAUAGUUUGUUUUUCUUCUACUGUGUUUAUGUUAAUUAUUUGGUUCGUGGUUUGUGUGGGUGGAAAUUUUGUUGAAAUUCCGUAGCUCUUGUCACAUAAAUGGCUACAUCUGCACAGAGUACAAAAAGAAUGAACUAUUUAACCGAGUCUUUCAACAUUUCACUUGAUGGAUCCCAAUGCACGAAUCUUAUGUGUUUCGUGCACUUCUUUUUUCAUUAGUCUUGUUUAGCUAUUCAUUUUAGUGUGAUAUUUGUGUAAAUCUUCAUAAUUUUUGUUCCUUAUUUUUUUCUUGCACUUCUUUCUUGAUUAAUCUUGUUUAGCUAUUCAUUUUGGUGAGAUAUUUGUGUUUUGUAGUUUGAGUCAUAGAAUUUUGUGUUUUUCUCGCUUGAGUAUCGAAUGUUUUGUUUUUCAUGUCCAUUCUUUUUUUUUUUUUUUUGUAUUAAUGGAUGGAAAUGCUUUGAGUGCAGGUAUGUAUGCUCUUAUGGUAUGAUGUUCGGCUGAUGAGUUCUUCCUUCCGCCUCCGUCAACCCUCUCCCUCUGUCUCCUGCCUCCCGUCCAAACCAGGUAAAACACGCUUGUAUAAUGAAA